UGAGGAAUAUUGGUCAAUGGGCGAGAGCCUGAACCAGCCAAGUCGCGUGAGGGAAGACGGUCCUACGGAUUGUAAACCUCUUUUGUCGGGGAGUAAUAGGCGGGACGUGUCCUGCUGUGAGAGUACCCGAAGAAAAAGCAUCGGCUAACUCCGUGCCAGCAGCCGCGGUAAUACGGAGGAUGCGAGCGUUAUCCGGAUUUAUUGGGUUUAAAGGGUGCGCAGGCGGCGUGCCAAGUCAGCGGUCAAAGUUCCGGGCUCAACCCGGUGAUGCCGUUGAAACUGGUGUGCUUGAGUGCGUGCGAGGGAGGCGGAAUGCGUUGUGUAGCGGUGAAAUGCAUAGAUAUGACGCAGAACUCCGAUUGCGAAGGCAGCUUUCCAGCACGCCACUGACGCUGAGGCACGAAAGCGUGGGGAUCGAACAGGA
rnacentral:rRNA from 1 species